UACGUAGGUGGCAAGCAUUGCUCGGAAUCAUUGGGCGUAGAGCGCGUGUAGGCAUUUUUAUAAGUCUCAUAUUAAAUCUCCUUUCUUAAAAAGGAGCAUGUAAGGGAUACUGUAAGAAUUGAGGAAGUUAGAGGCGACUGGAACUUGCGGUGUAGGAGUGAAAUCCAUUGAUAUCGCAAGGAACACCAAUGGCGAAAGCAGGUCGCUGGGACUUUUCUGACGCUGAGACGCGAAAGCGUGGGGAGCGAAUGGGAUUAGAUACCCGCGUA
rnacentral:rRNA from 1 species